rnacentral:rRNA from 1 species
UACGUAGGGUGCAAGCGUUAAUCGGAAUUACUGGGCGUAAAGCGUGCGCAGGCGGCUUUGCAAGACAGAUGUGAAAUCCCCGGGCUUAACCUGGGAACUGCGUUUGAAACUGAGGGGCUAGAGUGUGGAAGAGGGGGGUGGAAUUCCAGGUGUAGCAGUGAAAUGCGUAGAGAUCUGGAGGAACACCGAUGGCGAAGGCAGCCCCCUGGGCUAACACUGACGCUCAUGCACGAAAGCGUGGGGAGCAAACAGG